ACUGUUACCACACAUCUAAGCCAUGUUCUCCAUGCUGUUACCUUCUCAUACUCAUAGUUUGAUCUCUUUCUGCCUAGCUCUCAUGUCUGUCUCUAGAUUGCUUCAAAUCGUAAGAGAAAAGGAAUAUCAUUUAUUGCCUCUUGCGAAGUAAAUACUCCUGUAUUUAACUGAUGGGAUGAACCAAUGAUGUCAUUUAACAGUUUGUUUGUUGGUGAUCUCUACUGCUCAAAUCUCAUUUACAUACACAUUUACUCCUUUGAGCUUCACGAUAAUCCCAUGGAAUUGGCAAGGCAAAGGCAUUAUUGACAUUUUACAGACUGUGAACAAGAUGCCACCCCCAAAUGAUGUAGUCAAUGGUGCUACCAAAGUCUACUACAAAUAACCUAGUAAUUAUACACAGACAUCUUGACAUAGGCCAGUUCUCAACAACAGUAAAAUUUUGAGCCUGGAGUAUGAGAGCUGUGGAAAGGAAAGCAGAAAAGAAGCAUUGAAAAUAAAUAAAAACUGGUCAGGGGAAAUUUGACA